rnacentral:rRNA from 1 species
AGAGUUUGAUCCUGGCUCAGAACGAACGUUAGCGGCACGCCUAACACAUGCAAGUCGCACGAGAAAGGGCUUCGGCCCCGGUACAGUGGCGCACGGGUGAGUAACACGUGGGUAAUCUACCUUCGGAUGGGGGAUAACACUUCGAAAGGGGUGCUAAUACCGCAUAAGCUCACGACCUCUUCGGGGGUUGGGAGAAAAGCAGGCCUCUUCAUGAAAGCUUGUGUCUGAAGAUGAGCCCGCGGCCCAUCAGUUAGUUGGCAGGGUAAUGGCCUACCAAGACGAAGACGGGUAGCUGGUCUGAGAGGAUGAUCAGCCACACUGGAACUGAGACACGGUCCAGACUCCUACGGGAGGCAGCAGUGGGGAAUCUUGCGCAAUGGGCGAAAGCCUGACGCAGCGAUGCCGCGUGAGUGAUGAAGGCCUUCGGGUUGUAAAGCUCUGUGGGGAGAGAAGAAUAAGUCGUCGUGAAUAACGCCGAUGAUGACGGUAUCUCCUUAGCAAGCACCGGCUAACUCUGUGCCAGCAGCCGCGGUAAGACAGAGGGUGCAAACGUUGUUCGGAAUUACUGGGCGUAAAGCGAGUGUAGGCGGUGAGAUAAGUCGGACGUGAAAGCCCGGGGCUCAACCUCGGAAGUGCGCUCGAUACUGUCUCGCUUGAGUGUCGGAGAGGUUGGUGGAAUUCUGGGUGUAGAGGUGAAAUUCGUAGAUAUCCAGAGGAACACCGGUGGCGAAGGCGGCCAACUGGACGACGACUGACGCUGAGACUCGAAAGUGUGGGGAGCAAACAGGAUUAGAUACCCU